rnacentral:rRNA from 1 species
CCCUUAGAUGUUCUGGGCCGCACGCGCGCUACACUGAUGCAUGCAACAAGUCUUUUCCUUGGCCGAGAGGCCUGGGCAAUCUUUGAAUAUGCAUCGUGAUGGGGAUAGACGAUUGCAAUUAUUCGUCUUCAACGAGGAAUUCCUAGUAAACGCAAGUCAUCAGCUUGCAUUGAUUACGUCCCUGCCCUUUGUACACACCGCCCGUCGCACCUACCGAUUGAAUGGUCCGGUGAAGGCUUCGGAGGCGGCUUUCUCAAUGUUUAUUCGGCGAGACUGCUGCCAAAGUUGAAUGAACCUUACCAUUUAGAGGAAGGUGUAGUCGUAACA